UACUAAUGCGCGAUACCGAAUGUUUUUUAAUUUUAUUAUUCAAUAUGAUACCAAUUACUUUUUUGGCAAAUUUUUUCUCAAUACUAAUAUUUGUGGAAUUGACAAUGCACAUUUAUGAAUUAGUAUUGAUACUUUAUGAAUUAAUUAAUCGAUACUCGAAUCUCGUGUUAUUUGCGAUAUAUCGAUAACAUAAAGUUGAUGAUACCCCCCACGCCUCCGAGGGUUAAAAAAGUCAUAAAAUCCACUAAUGACACUGCAUCUGUAAAUUCUUCGUUUCUAUUUCUCCCUCUUUAAACUCACUCGUCUUUCACUAUUUCUACACACCCAGUCAUUUUUGAGCCACUGCUCUGUCAUUACCUGCUGCAGAUGAAGGUUCCUGGUUCAUUUUCCACUGCAGCUCCUUGCAGCAGUCAUUUGUUCUUAAGCAGCAGUGCUUCAGGUUAUUUGUUCUGCAGUCUCUCCUUGCCGUUCUCUUUUCUCUCCCCAGUGUGAGGAGAUCCAAUCGGGUGUCAAGUGUACACCAAUUUACACUGUUCACUGUUAGCAGUUACAUCAGAGCGAAGAAGCGAUCCGUGCCUCACUCACUGGCACAGUAUUUUCUCACUAUUCGGUGUAUGAGAUGUGUAUUAGGGUCUUUAUAUUCUACUUUUGAAUUCUGAGAAACAUCUUAAUACAAAUACAGACUUACACUCAAAUAAAAUAUUAUAAAAAUCACAUUUUGAUGUAUCUUAAGUCGUGGGCAGAUUGUGUGACUCGAUGGGUCAGAUUUGGCCCAGGAUCCACUAGUUGAUCAUCACCACUGUAACAUGAGAAAAAUUAUUUUUUAAAAUUUGUUUAUUAUCCAUGAUGCACACGGAUCACACUUACAAUCUAAAGCUAAUGUCAUUAAGAUUCACAUUUGCAUUUUACUCACUCAGUGAUGUCAAUGCAGUGACUAAACACUUGUUCCCAUGUAUUUCAGUAACAAGUAUAACACUGCAGCUGGAGGUUCAAGGAGCUUUGGAACUUUUUGCGAGGUUAGAACUUGCGUCGUCAACAGGUGAAAGUUCAUGACUUAAAAUAGUGAAUGCAGUGCUCCACACAUUGCUGUUCAAGCUGUUUUAAAUAGCAUCUCCUAAACAUGCUCUUCUAUAAAGCUAGGUCAAAAUACAUGUGUGUCAAACAUAUGCAUCAAGUGAACAAGUUAUUUUUUUCUUCUAUUUUAAAAGUCUCCCAAGGAUGAAGGCAAGGUUAAGCUGGCACUAAACAGCCCUCUGAAUACUGUACUAUAUUUGGACUGGCGUUUAAGCAAGGUUAAUGCAUUUAAGAAGUGUUUACACACAUACCCCAUAAUACAUGGACUAUAUUCUCUAGGUGAAUCAUCAACACACCAUCUUCUGGGGCAUAGGCUUAUUGUGAGGAUUACAUUGUGUGAUGGUGAUAAAGAGUUGGGUUAAAUUGUUUUCGUGCAAAUAAUUUGUGUGUUUGCACACAUUUCUCUGCAUGAGAUUUAAGACAUUGCUAACAUGAAAAUCUCAUCUUGCUUUUGCAAAAACCUUUUUAUACAGACAUCUGAUCUGUGUUAUUUUUCUGCAUUGCUGGCGAAAAUUAAAGGAUUUGAAAAAACGUCUCUGUAAACAGAAAUCAGUCAAUUUCAGACUAGAGAGGCCAAAAGUUUACUGGCUUAGAAGUGAGAGCUUUGGUAGACAUAAUCUCUUUUAUGCCUUUAAUUUGGUAGGAUUAGUAAGAUACAUUCUCUACUCUCAUGUCUUCCAGACCAGCUUUCAAUGAAAGGAUACUGCUGCUCUUAUUUGCCUUUUGACUUUUUAUUUGAUUCCAUUCCCUUCGUUUAUCAUUGCACAGCAUCUGAUUAUUUUGUUAAUUUUCACAAUGCUGCAUUCUUCGAAUAUACAAAUACCCCAGUUAUUAAUGAUGUAAUCUUAAAAUGAUUAGUGAAUUUUUCAUGAACAUACUUUUUAGACAUCCAGAUUGUGUGUGUGUGUGUGUGCAUACAGAUAGACACAUUUACAAACCUACAGUCGUGUGAUUAAUUCACCUCGUGUUGUCCUCCAUUGAUCUGCUUAAUAGAGGUCUUCAUUGAUUGUGGUCAUCCACAGAUUACAAUCAGAAGGAUGCACAGUCCAUGGUCUUCUUCAAGCUGCAGUCAACAAAAGGCAGACGCCUAAGCCGUAAAAUCAGCACAGACUAAUUUGAAUUGAUGCCACCUAGCAAUCCUGGCUUUUACUGAUGCCCCUCCUGUGCUAAUAUAUUUUGUUUAAUCCGUGUUCAGUGUUUAUGAUGCCAUCUUAAUGCAGGGGAAGGGGCUGGAAUUAUUAGGGCAAUUUGGUUUUGCAUAAAUCAUCAUGUUUGGUGAUUAAUGACUCUGAGUAAAUGCACCAUAUAGCUUAGUAAUUGCUAACAGCAAAUUUGCCUCAGCGUAGAAUCAGAUUGAUUUAUUAUUAUAACCACAGUUCUUAAUGUGUUUUCAGACUUUGUACAAAUUUUUAUUGAUGUCCCCAUUUGAAAUCCACAUCCGCACAUUGAACAGAUUGCUGCUCCUGUGAUUUACACAGAACCCAUCUGCGUGCCUGCAGUAAUUAAACUCCUUUUCUUAGUGUCUCUUAAAAUGGUGUCUCUUCUCUCUUAUCACAAUUUGUAACAUAUGUUACACACAAACACAAGAGUUUCCUGUUUGAUUUGAACUAAAUUCAAUAGAACAACACAUUGUCCUUUUCUUUCCUGUAAUAUCUGCAGUAUGCUUCAUGUUUAAGGUUUCUGAAUUGCCUCAUUGUACAGGGAUUGAAAGGCUGAUGCAAACGGAAACUGAAAACCUAAUGACCUUGUCCUCUCUGUAACUUCUGGUUCAUAUAAUGACUUGUUAUAAAAUGGGUUGUACUGCACAUCAUGGGACCUCCCCUCACUAGGGCAACGCUAUCUUUCCUGGGAAACACUUGUUAAAGACUAACUGCUGAUUGAGCACCAUUGGCCAGUGCAGGUCAGUCCAGAGUGCCCUUUUGACCUUUGUCUGUUUAACUCCAAAAUUAUGAUGCAUUUAAACACAAAGGGGCAGUAAUGGCUUUGCAUGUAUUACACAUCUGUUGCUCCUCUGAUGAAAGGGCCAUUUACAACAAGACCAUCAAUACACUCACAGGAAGUAGUGGUGAGUAAAAAAGGUCAGGGGUGAAGACGAGCGUGUGAAGCGGACCUAUGGAUAAUUAUUGGCUUGUGGGGCUCUUUGUAGCUGUAAGACUAGAAGACUGAACUCUUUCAAGCCUUGGAAGUUUCUGUGUAUCGGAGAGCACCAUUCUCACCAGACAAAAAUGGAGGCUGCUGCUUUAAUGAUAGCUGGUCAUGUCCUGUGGGCUCUUGACAAAAUGAUGAUCCAUCAUGCAGGUGUCUAAAAUGGAUGGCAUGCUGAUGAUUGGGUGUGGACCUUUGUGAACUUUAAUGCAAGCAGUGUUGGUUUCCUGGCAGUCAGAUGGCAGGAGCAGAAGAGCAUUGUCUCAGUUUAAAGUUAUCGCUUCAUUCCUGUGGUGUCAGAAAUUAUAUAGUUUGUCUAAAACAACAAAACCCACUGUUUGGACUUACCACAGAGUUUAGUUCAAAACCCAACAAGACUCAAAUGAGACAUUGUCCCAGGACAUUCCUGAAGUGACUGUUCAAUCAGUUUACACCAUCGAGGCACAGAGGAAGAUGAUUGACUGGAAAAUCUUUUAUAGAAAUAAAGCUGCUCUCACAAUACCGACUUUCAGGCAUUUUGUGUCAUGGUUAUCUCACAUGAAUGACCAACACCUGCUAAAUUCACUGAGGUUUACCUGCUGCAGAUUUUGCCAUCUGUCCUGCCCCACACAGGCAGCACACAGCCGACCCUAGUGUACAGUUGGUGUACAGUCCAGCUAAUGCUUAAUGUAGCGUGUGAGUUUGUAUUGAGUAAGGAGGAAAAACAAGAAAAAAAUAAAAGCAUGGCUGCAUCAGAAAGGGGCUUUGUGGGGUGGUCCAUUCUUACCUAACACUAUCAACAAUUUGUACUGAAAAUUAAAUCAGAAAAUUUCAUUAAAAUAAAAUAUUUAAUCAACCAAUAAACCUGAAUUAAAAAAAAUACAAUUAACUUUACACUGUUAAACAUUAACAAGUAACAAUUGUUCAUUUUUAUUUUGUUUUGAAUCACAGGAUGAGGAAUUUAUCCUGAGUCUUUCCACUUAACAGAGAAUUAGGAACUCAUGGAAAUACAAAAUGUCUUUGUACAGGCAAAAAGAGGACUUUGUCUUUUUCUUUGUUUACCCCCAGAUUUAUUUUCCCAUCACUUUGACAAGUAGCGUUAAGACUGAAGGUAAUUAUAGUGGCCUCACUGCAAAUUAUAGUAAACCUCAUGGGCACUGGCGACCACUCCUGAAGAUUCAGUCGAGGUGGGUUUGUGACAUUUUUAUUAAGUAAUAAGCCCAUCAAGCUAUUUUCAGCGGAGGAUUUGGCUGACUGCAGUUUCUCUAAGGUUAUAAUUAUCAUUUUACUUGAGCUCUCUGUCAACAAAUAGUGCAUUGAAAGAUAAUUAUAUUACAGUUCAGCAUAUUUCCCCAACUUCUAGGAACUAAACAGUUAUGUCCUGACAUGUAACCAGUUAGCCCAUUAAAAGGUCAAAAAGCUUUGGAUAACACGCAAAAAUAGAAAGAUCUUCCGCACAAUCUAUCACUCCCUUUAUCUAUAUAUGUAAAGUCCAUUGCUCACUAGCUCUGAGCACGACAUAUCAUGGGUCCCACUAGCAUGGGACUGGCAUCAUCACUUGUCUCUACCAAUGAGAGCAUUACGGGUGGGUGUAAACCCUUUGCAUUUCUCAUGUUAAACUAUGUGCAGUAACAUGAAUCAUGAAGCUGCCUGUAAUGUUAUGAUUGUUGUCAUGGUAACUAGUUCCUAAAACUACCGAUAAGAUAAAAUGUUAUUGCCCUUAACGGCACUAGCAAUAGUGUUAGAUAGAUAGACAGAGAGAUAGAUAGAGAGAGAGCAAGAGAGAGAGUCUCUUGGUCUGCCUGUCUCUGUGGUAGGGGUCUUUUUCUUUUUUACUCUAAUUGGCUUGCCUUCCCUGUCUCUUUGCUUGCUGGAUAAUUGGACAUACCACCAUAAUCCAUGCAUCCCAUCCAUAGCAGUCCCCUUUACACGCCCCACCCCCCAGUUCUCAUCCUGGCUUCUCCAUGGACUUUUGACCAGAAGAUCAAAAGAAAUAUGCAAUCCCACUCUGUGCAAAUACAUUGCUGCCCAGGCUCCCUCGUGCUCCCAGAUAUCCUUUUGGCAUGGAUUUUAUACUAGUAUAUUGCCUCAAACGUCCCCUUCCACUACACCUGAACCUCUGGGGAUGCAGAGCUGUAUCGUUUUCUGCAUUACAUAGAGAACAAGGUAAUUCAUUUUGGGGUAGCCCUGGAAUUAUUCAUAAGGGUUCCAAUAUCAAAAUAUUCCCUUUUGCUCUGGCCCUUAAUAAUUCAUGCUUAGCAUUCAUCUUCAUUGGUACAGGGAGCAGUGGAGUCAUUCAUCUCUUUAGGGAGUCCUGGUUUAACUAGUCCUGAGCUCCAGCGUGGGUUGUCAGGGUCCACAGAGGUAGGGCAAGGAGGAGGGAACAAAGAAGGAGGCGUGUGGCUUUGUCACACUGACAGGAGGGCCUCCCCAUCUUUGGGAAGGAGGCCACUCAGAGCUGGUGAAGCCUGAGUUGUUGACCUUUGGGAAAGGACCAUUGGCUUCACAUUGAGUGAUGGUGUCAGCCGCUAGUGUAAAACACCUCUAUUAGGAAUGCCUGGCAUGCUUCGGUGCUUCUAAUUAUGAAGAAUGCAAAACAACAGUCAGGGGAGACAGGGGAGGUCGCCUUGCAGUCAGCCCAAAGCAGGAUCAGCAGCUACUGUUGUGUCAGACCUACCAGUGCGUGACUUCUUCCUUACCUCACAUAAAAAUGCACAUAGUACUACACCAGUGUGAAAUCGUUCUUACCCAAGCUCUGAAAAGGUGAAAUAACUGCUGCUCUGAUAGUUUUAUGCUACAGCCAUCUAUUAUUAUUGAGAGGUUUUGUACAUAUUUGUCUUUUCUAUUGAACCAACAGGCAAGACCAAGGCCUCUUGCGAAAUCUGUACUGGGUCGGAAAUUAGACAUUCCAGUGAAUCUACGUGAAAAAGACCUCAGCUCAACACAGAAAACUGGGCCCAGCUUCUCACUACACACUUGCUCUAAACAGCGAUGCAAGACAUCUGUCUGCCAUUUGACUUGACUCUGUUGUCAUCCUACAUGCCUCAAAGGUAUCACUGUGAGGGGAAAGUCCUGUAACAUUAGCAGAGAUAUGUAUGCGUAGCUACUGGGUAGUCAGUCAGCGAUGAAGGUAGGAUCAGACUGGCGGAAGGGCUGAGAGAUGCAGAGUGAAGUUUGCCCCUAGAGAUAUUGGCAUUGAGAGACAAAGGUCAACAGCAGAUCACAGAGAUUUUUGCAGGCUUGUUUAUCUGAAUCCCAGAAGGAUUAGUGAGUGAAAACCGAGAGCUUGUUAAAAUAGAUCCAAAAAUAUACAGUAAAGUAUAAGAUCAAAGGCAGAAACCUCCACUGCUACGUUGAUGAUCUCUCACUACAGAAAAAAAAAUAAAUAAAAAGACAAUUUGGUCUUAACAAAUCAUUUCCAUGUAUAUAUCGCAUAUACUUUUGAGGUCAGUAGCAGCCAUAAAAACAUCUCUAUAUAUUUAGAGGCAGCCAAGCAUUGCACUUGCUCUCGAAUGAUGUCCUUGUGCCUGGAACCUUCAACCCAAUGAGAGACCCAACGAUUUAUGAACCUAUGAACCAAAGUAAGGUAUAAUCUCUCCAUAUGUAUGUUUAUGCGUAAUUUAUUUGGAAUUUAAAUUCUGAUUAAUCAGGGUAGAUGUUUAUUCUCUCUCUAAUCAAUUAGGCCAAUGUUUUAUUAUGUAAAUCUUAUAUCUGAAUAUUUUCAUCUUCGAACAAUCGUUUCUUCUUCAUUUGAAAUAGACAGGACCAUGCAAAGAGCCCCUAAGAGUAGAGAGAAGGAGAAAUAGUCACAAAUGAGAUCCAGGUGUGUGGGUAAUCAAUUUCAUGGAGUUUGGUUUUGCAAGGCUGCGUGCUGAAGGAGACCCUCAUAAUUGGGCCACCAUUCCACACAGGUAAUGGCUUUGCACAGCAUUUAUUCUUUUUGAGGCACAAACACACAGAGACACACACAUUCCUGCAUAAACCCAUAGAAAUCACAGGCCACUGAACACAAUUGAGACAGAUAGGUUGGUGCCAUUUCCUAGUAACCCCCAUGCUUCAAGGACUCUGGCAAACUUGUCCAUUCAUCAGGAGGGGAGGGCUGUUUGGAGACGCUUUUCUCUGGCUAUGUUCAGAUUUAUCACACACCACAACUCCCGUUUGCCUUGUUAACAUUAGCCACAUGAAGUGUCCAGAGCUGCAGGUGCUGCAGAAGGUGAAGGGGCUUUUAUUCAGACUAAACUGUAAACAGUUUCAUACCACUGAGCCGUGAAACACAAGCUAUCAGUCUCACAAUUGGAUGUCUUUUUGGGCUGGAGUCAUUUUCCCCCAUUUCAUGGGUUGGCUUUCAGCAAGAUAUUUCAUUUCUUGAAUCAAAAGCGAUGGCUGACAGGCUACAAUUAUUAAAGACCAAUGGGUCUGCUGUGAUAAACAUGUUUUCAAAUAAUAUUUGAAUAUAAAAUAUAUAUUUUUAAAGAUUUCUUUACAAGCCUGUGAACACAUUAAGAUUUUGAGCCAAUAUUGAGCCCCUUGGUUAAAUAUUCAGAGUCUAUGUUCUAAUAUAUUGUGUUAUUCAUAAUACUGCCAGAGACAAUUGUUCUUCCGUAGCAGCCCAUGUUAAGAAUUAUAAUUAAGGUAAUAUUCUGCUUAAUGCUCUAAAAAAAACUAAAUGGAAUUAUGAUUUUUUUUUUCUUCAUAUUAACUAGUUCUUAUUAACCAUUGUUCUGCUGGAGCUUGGAGAGUCUGGAGAAACUGACAUGUUCUGGCUUUUUUUUUUUUUCUUCAGAAAUCCACAUGGUCACAGAGGCACAUUCACACAAAAGAAUCUGCAUCCUAUAGUCUUUUUUUUUUCUUUCAUUUUUCACUGCCUUAAUGGAUCCAAUUACUCUUCCAAAGACUGCCAACACUGUACAUUACAGUGAGCCAGUUGUGAUGGUAAUUCAGAUUUUUUUAAUAGACACAUACUCAAUAAUAAACCUGUGGGGGGAAAGAUUUUCCAUACAAAUUGUAGCUCACACAGUGAGCGUAGAUUAUGCUAAUGUGGGGAGCAGAGAGGAUGUCAUGUCUGGUAAGGUAGGGGGUACUAUAUAUAAAUCCUGUUUUUAAUGAAGCAGCCCACCCCCCCCCCCAUACCUCCCCUCCCUGUAAUUGUUCUCUGGUUUUGGUGCCUUAAUGAGAAGUGUGUGGUUUGGUCGCAGCACUGAAAACCUGUCAUGGUGUAUUUGAAAAACAUAUAAAUAAGAAUGAUCUCAAUGAACGGCUAAUCUUGAAGGGGUUUUUGGGAUUACUUACAACUCUGUAUCAGUCAUAGCAGCGAUCCUGUCUGUCUUCCUUCAGUUUUAAGAGAAUAAAAACAGAAAAGCAGAUCUGAUGGCGGUGUGUUGAGGAGCUGUAAACAUGAAUUCCCUUCAGAACACCCCUGCUGGUCCUUUCGCUGCAGAUUUCAUAUCAUUCCUCUACAGUGUGUCACGUUCCUGCUUUUGGCUUGUCUCCUGAACAGCCAUCAAGUUUCCUCCCCCACUCUCUCGCAGGUUUUCAAUCCCUGACACUUACCAGGCAGGGGCCUGAGAUCAGGCCUACUGGACACACAGGAGGUCACUGUAUCCUGUUUCAGAGAGAACGAAUAGAUCUAGGGCAACCAGACACACACUUCCUCCAGACUGCCUAGGGCACCAUGGUCCAGAGAAAAGAGGGAGGGAGAAUAGGCAAAGAGGGACUGAAGUGCAGUCCUGAAAGGAGGAGAGAUGGGAUUGAAUGACAGGGAUAAGGGGGGAGGCGGCACUGCUGACAGCGGCAGCCAGUGGGAUCGAGUUCUCUUUCUGAAACCCAGGAUCAGAAAAACAAUGACUUUGGCAUCUGUCUGGAAGGGGAAAACAGAGACUGGGAUCCUGUGCUGUGAAGUGCUGAGGCUUCACAGAGAUGCCUUUAAUGUAACCCUGUCCCAGCUCCCAUCAGAUACCUUAGGACUCUCCUUGUAGAAUGUGAAACAUUUUAAACUCUUUUGCUGUCACUGAAGCGCCACAUGAACUCGCUCCGAGGCUCCCUACUGUGCCUAUGAACACACCGAAUGAGAAGAAUACACUGUAUUACAGGUUUGUGUGUGUGUGUGCCAGGGUGACUUGUCUUGUCCUCAGGUCAUAUCCUACAUUAGAUAAGGAUCAGCAUUCUUCCAGCCUAAAGAUAUAGGUCAUGUAGCCACAAUGGCUCAAGUAGCAUAUGAGUCUUGCUUCAUUUGUUUUAUUACUCAUCAUCCUGUAGAGUGACUUUACUGCCUUGUCUCUUCAUAGAUCAAAUUGAAUGGCUUGCUCUAGUUUGUCUCUUAUCUACUUCACUACAUUCUUGGAUCGGAGAUAAAUAAAAGUCAAUGUCUCUCUCCGGGCCAUUAGUGCAUUAUUCACAGAAGGCUCUCGUGCUACAUCAAAGAUUUUGUUUACAAGUUAGAGCCCUAGAUUAACCAAUACAUAGACAUUUGAUUAGACAAGUUAUACGAUAUGUAAAGAUGUGUCCGUCGAAGGGUAUCACUAGUAGUACCACACAGUGCAGUAAUUGUCAUAGAAUCUGGUAUUGCCCAUUACUAGUGAAGGUAAAAUAGCAAGAUGGACCUGAUCAGUGUCUGUGGUAUUGUGAAGGAUGUGCUAGUUUAUCAUGCUAACAUCACUGUUAAUCAUACAACAGGUCCCUACAGGUUCCCACCUAACUGCACUAGGUGGCAGUCAACUGGGCAACUGGUCAGAAUGACGUGCAUGAAGCGUCUUAUUGAGUUGCAUGUUAACGUGAAAGUAAACCUUGAGGCAGAAUCAAGAUUCAGAGAGCAUCUUCUGGUAGGAUUAAGAAGUCAACAGGGUUUCUCGACUGCUUUACACUCGUACCAUUUUUGCUACCCAACCUUUCUAAGAACCUGAGUGAUCAGCACAAAUUCACUCCCCUGUUUUCAUGUUUGAUUUAUGUCCUUGAUGACACAGACAAAAUAAAAACCCACAGAGUCCUAAACUCACUCUCUGUGUGCAGAUCCCCAGUUUGUGUUUUUAUUGUAACAAGUCUACCGGAAAGAAAACCUGAAAAUGAUUCACUGGGAAACAGUAGGAAGAUCAGCGAGUGAAUGAGUUUUUCUGUGUGAUGGGAACUGCUGCAGACACAGAUAUCCAUCAGCCGUGUCUACAGUGUGCUGGCAAGCACAAGUCAGGUUGUCUGUAGCCAGCAGCUCAGCCAGAGGCCCACCACACCCAGCAGUUCAGUAUCACACUUCCAUUUGCUGAUUACCUCUGUUUGGUGGUGGUGCUCUCUGAAGUGGGCCAACAAAUAUUCCCCCAGUGUCUGUCCUGCUCGAGGACAGGAAGAAGUUAAAUGCAAGCCAAUUAACUUUGAUUCCAGGUCAAUUAGCUGCUUUCUUCUGCCACAUUAGGAUGAAUAUAAUCUGUGGGAAAAGGAAAUACUGGGAGGGCCUGUCAGCUACUGCUAUCUAGUGUCCCGAGCCCAUGUUAACUGUACGAAACCGGAGCUUAAGCACAAACGCUGAGGACAUAAAUAAACAUACAACAAAGAAAACAGAGUGAUGCUAGAGUUAGAUGUCAGGAUUCUGUGUCUUGAAUUGUUCCAGGAAAAUCACUAGCUGCUACUUUCUUUACAAACUGUACGUGUGAUCAAAUGCGGAAUUGAGAUUUUUUGGUUUACAGAUAUUUUUGGCUCACUCGGCUCUGUGCUACAGUAGGAGGUGGGAGUAGGGAACACGCAGGCUUUGAAGAAAAAGGAAAUUGAAAAGAAACAGAAAGACAGGAGUCAGGUUUCAUGAAAUAAUAGCUGUGACAGAAAUCUGGGGAAAACAAGGCAGCACAGAAACCAAGAACAAUUUUCUUUUGGUUUCUUUAAAAAAAAAUGGACAGAAGAAGACAAAUAUAUUGAGGUUAUAACAAACGUGCCAUUGUGAAAGCAAUUUACCUCGUACAACGGGAUGUUGGAAGCAAAUAUUUCCACUGAGAAAAUAUUACCAGGAGCUAAAUUAUCCUGUUAGAGUAAAAAUCUGACUUUAAUUUCUCAGACUGCACUGCAGCGUGCCACUAACUGGACUGUUCCUCUGCUGCAUUUCUCCCAGGAAUUUUAUACAGAGAUUUUCUUUUUUUUUUCCUUUCCUCUUUUGUCAAGUGAGAGUUCAAACCAAGCGUGGCAUCCUGGAUCAGGUCCAUGUGCCUGUGGCCUUUGUGUUACACUGCGACCUGCCAAAAAAUCUGUGCCAAGGGGAGGAACUAACUGCAAACCAGCUCUGCUGUCUUAGGCUGGGCCUUCAGGCCACAGGUCAAAGAUCUACUGGCUGGACCUGUCAACUCUGCUACUUCGCUCAGACUAAACCCACAAAGUAUAAAUGCAAGAGCAAGCACUCACACAUCAUAUCAGUGCAUUGAGUGCUCUAUUGUUUGAUCAUGAGCAGACAGUAGUUGGGAGUUGUCCAUUUUGGUUUUAAUCAUAUUGUUAUUGCAUUAGUCUGGGGCCCAUUAUGGUCUCUUAGAGGAUGUGGGCGGAGGAGGAUGAAUGCAUGGAGCAGUGACAGAGGGCUUCAAGCAGACAGAUGAGCAGGUGAAGGAUUUCUCCAGUCUGGGCAUUAUUCUUUUUUUGUUCCUACUACAUCAUUCAGGUUGUUCUCUUCCAGCCCUUACCUCACCCACCCUCAACAAUGAAUUCUGUUUGUAUCACUGGCUCACUCUAAGGCACAAAAUUUGGGAAUACAUUACUGGAAUUUUUUGCACAUUACUGCUAUUUGGCAUUUGUAGCAAAUUCAGGAACCAAAAGUCGGGAACCAUCACUUUAUUUUAGUCUUGCAAUCUUUCUCAAAAAGGGUCUCGAGUCACAUGAUCUGCAGGGUAUUAUAUUAGCUUGAUAUGAUAGGUUGAUGAAAGGGGGGAAAAAACAGGCGGACAGAUUAUAACUCAUCACAGUUUAUAAAUGUAUUGCGUGGCCUUGUCUGUUUCUACUGAGAGAAGAUUUAUUUUUGUGUUGGCUAGUGGCCUUCAAUGGCUGCUGAAGUAUCACGCACAUACAGUAGGCAAGCAGGGCAAACCAUUGAGAUGUACUGUAAGGUACUCGUUGUGCUUCAGCAGUCUGUAGUUAGGGAGCAAUUGUAAAAUGGAUGGUGACAGACACAUGGUCAUACGCCGGGACUGUGAGGACAACACUGUUGAGUUUUUAGCCACAUGAUGACAGAGCUGACUCUAGAACUGACAUGCUUCGGAUGUCUCUGUUGACUAGUCAUGGUUUCCACACGCUUGGCCUCGUUGUAGCCUUGUCAAGAGGUAAGAUGGCCACUUUAACACCAGUCAAUCAGGGUCACGCUGCCUUGAUUUCCCAGAGUAUGUUUCUUUUUUUUUCUCUAUUAUAUUUUUCCCAGCAUAGUUGUGUUAUUUAUCAGUCAGGUUGGCUUUGAGAUAGCUUGGUAGAGGCAGAAAAUGUGAUACGAGGAAAACAAAAUCAAGAAAAGCAGGAGCUGAAGAUAAAAUAAUGAUAGCUUUGGGAGAGGGAUGGAUGCAGUGAGUUGCAAAUGUCAAAUCAGUCAGCAAUAAAUAAUUCAAAAUAUCUCCAUAGUAAAAAUAAAGUCUAAAAACAUCAGUUGUUUUUAGGGUGUCAUAUUUCAUAGCUUGUUAAUGUUUAGUAGGCCGGCGGACAGCAGCACAACAAACAACAAAACCAGAAGGAAUGAUAUGAGACAUUGCUAAGUUACAGCACUAAGAAUGCAAAGUUUUUUAUGCGUGUUGGAUGUUUUCUCUAGCUAUUCCAAACACACUACAGAGCUAAGGUCGACAUUCUCUAUUUUCCGCACACACCAUGGUAAAUUUGCAGCACAUCGCUCUUGUAAUUUUGCUAUUUGUUUUGGUUCAACCAGAACAUACUAUUAGUUUACUAUUUUAGCUUACUUUAACUCACUUAUCUGGACUUUUUUUAACCAAUCCACAAUCUAGGAUGUUGCAUAGCUUUAUAUACAGACUCUUUAGACAUGUUUUUUUCAAGUAUUUAUUUGAAUGACAAUAUGAACACCUUGUCAGAUGUGGAAUGGCUGGUCAACCAAAUACUUGAAUGCUCUUAAAAAGCUCUAGUUGUCCCAUCUCAAAACAGCCUGUCAUCAUAAAGGCUGUGUGGUGAAACCACAGAUUGAAGGGUAUGAUAAAAGAGGGGUAUUGGACUUGCAUCCAUCCCCACUUCAAAGGCGGCCAGAAUCUAUAGGCACAUUUGCUAUUGUCUGUUCUGCAGGUGCUUUGCCUCCCACAGGCUCUGACGGUCUCAGCAAAACCACAGCACUGUAGAGAGGGAUUGUGAGAUGUUAUCUGUCAAAGAUACAGACAACAUGGUGGGUACUAGACAAUAGAAGGCAUGUGGACUCUGAUGCUGCAGGGAAGAGGAAGAGGGAGUUGUAAUCAGCUCCAAACUUUGUGUACAAAUUCAGUUGGUCCGGGGGAAUGUGAUGUCUUGUUUAAGAUAAAAUGUGUGCAGUGAUUCGCAGUGUUUUUGCUUGACAUAAUGUGACCCGGCUGUGCCAGCUUGAAGUGAACAUUCCAUUAAGAUGCAGAUCAGGUGGGAUGACGACUCUCCGUAGCCUGCAGACUUCCUGUGCCCUGACAUGGUCUUAAACUAAAGCUAACAAAAAGCUGACAUCACUGUGACCAAAACUAGUUUGAAAUAUAGGUUUGAAAUAGGUUUUAUGGUCUCAUGCCCAUAAAGCCUAUGAUAACCAAUAUCAACAUCCAGGAAAACAAAAUACAAAUAGGAAACAACUAUUUAGGUUACCCAAAUGCCCUGUCUGGAAGGUCUGACCCGCAUGAAGUGAACACUGCUUUAUUUGAACAUUUUCUCCACAACUAGCUAAACACCCUCAUCUUCUGCUCCAAAACGCCAACAAGUCCCAUCACAUCCUGGUCGGGGUAAAGCUUUUCUCCCUUUGUUGAGGACAAUGUAGCUAUUUAGCAGCACACGCUCUUAUCGGAGCAUUGUUAGCAUAUUUUAACCUUCAAAAAAAAAAAAACAUGGAUUUUGUUGAUGAUUUACUCCAAGUUGAGGUUGUAGCAUCAUUUGGAGGUAAAUUGUCUGCUCAUGUGAAGCACGCGAGGCAUUCUAAUCUCAAGAGAGCAAGAAAAAAACAAAAACAAAACAGAGGGUAGCGUGUAUCUGCUUACUCAGUCCUGACUUGAGGAUGUUUAGUUUGUUGAAGAGAUACUGAGGUAGCUGAUAAUGGUGGUGGGGGUAUCCUUCCCCUCCUGCUUGUUGAUUUAAUACUCUGUCUUUCUUGAUGUCGUGCAAAAAGGUUUGUUUACUGCCACUAAGCUAUUCUGUGUUUGUUUUCUUGUGUGCUUGUUCUAUUCAUCAGCUCUGCUGCACCAUGACUGCAGUCGAUUGGUCGGGUCAGCAGCUGCUAAUGAGAUGUACCAGCAACCGCACACCACAGCAUUUUUGAACCUUGUUUAAACGUGACUCCAAACCUCAAACAACUACUUAUCAGAACUUAUCGAUACUGGAUGUAAAAACUGUGACGUCAUUUGCUGUGUUUCAUUAAGGCUGACCUUGUUUACUUAAUUUCUUAUGGUUUGGUUGAAGCGGCUCCUACAUGCCUCAGCAGUGCUGUGUCCUAUCAUUAUCUGUCAAUGUUUUGCCCCCUCUGAUCCUCACUAAGUCAUACUUCAAAAUCUUUCAACUCCAUUUCUUACAUUUCUGCCCACUCCUCUUCCCUCAUAGACUGUUUUCUGCUCCAGAUGGGAUUGUCUUUUGCCUGUCAACUCAAUCCGUCUAAGAUGCACCAGGGCUUUGGACCGGACCACAUGGUGUCGGGAAUUGGCAUGUUGACGAGGGCUUCUUCUUUUUAUGUAGGGGUGAACUGGAGGUUCCUGCUUUGAGUGGUCGUCCCUGUAGACACCUGCUUAGUUAAGCUGUGUAGGAGAGAGGGAGGGGCUAAAUAAUAGAACAAACAGGUCAGAGUUUAUUUGAGGGACAAUUGAAAAUAAAGAUAAAAACACAUUUAAAAAAAUACCUGAAAAUAUUAGGCAAGAUAAUGUUGCAAAACAAAAAUGAUGUGGUCAGGUCAGCAGUUGCUAAAGAAGAUAAGUUGUUAUUAUUGCAUUUCAGUUGAGACAUACCAGAGGCUUAUCUUUAUAAAGUUUAUUAUAAUUGUUUUUUAUAAAAACCUAACUUGAGCAUCUUCUCUCUCCAAGAGGACUAGCUCUCAGAGGAAGAUCUUCAAUGUGAUUAUAAUGUACGUUUAGAUAUAUUUAUUUCAUAAUUUUAAAAACUCUCUUCUGCCCUCAGGCUGAUGGCCUGACAUAGGAUUAGAUUUUUUUAGUAUUUAAUAGGAAACAGUGAAUGGCAGAUGUUCAUCAUCUCUUAUUGUUGUUUUCAGUUUGACCUUAUCCUUUUCAAGACUUGUUAAGCCUUGACUUCCUUUUUCAUCAAACAACUAUUUCUUGAACUGCACAAAACUUUGGUAAUAUUGAAAGGCGAACCUGAACUUGGAAAAAGAAAUAGAUAAAAAGACGGUGAAGACAGAAAGUACAGCAACCAAAAUCAUCACAUGUUUAGAUAAAAUCCAGCUCGGCACCCAACUCAAUUUAUCAGUCUCUGGCUGCCAAGCUUCACUACAGAAAAAAAAGCUGUCCCUCAGAGGAGCAAAGGAUUUUUCUCCCCUUUCUAUAAAUCUAGCAGAUAUUUUAGAGUCCUCUGUGAACAAUGUCGGUGCAGUAGCAUUAAAUUUCCCCGGCUGUGGGAUGUGGCUUUAUACCCUUGGGAGAGGGGUCAUAAAUCACCUUACCAGGAUGUCUGAGCCGUGUUAACAGUAGCAAAGUAUCCCAUAAAACAAUGAGGCAAAACUUCUCUUUGUCUUUACUUCAUCUAAUGAAAAUAUAGGUGUUUAAAACCCGGGGCUUAAAAUCAGUUUGGAAAUUUGACACAGUGUCAAUUUCACAGGGAUCAGAGUGACUUCUGGCACACGUACAAAACUUUCAUAUUGGCAUCCAACCGGCUCAGUGUUGCAUGUUGGACAAUUAGACGAGUGUGUGUGAAGUGCUGUGCAGCUAUAGACACGUAUAGACACAUGUCAGUGUUCACACACUCUCCUCGAAGACAAGUGUUAAAGAUAAAAUUUCAGCUCUCUAUUUCGUUCUCUCGUUCUGUUCACUUGGGUUCCUCUUCUCACUGUAGCAGAUGCCCUCUUAGAUAAGGAUAUGGACAUCUUUUCAUCUCAUCUGGUCCAGCUGGUACAGUUUACAGCCCAUGUGGCAACCAUUGAAAUUGGGACAAAGAAACUGAUCAGAGAAAGAUGUGCCCCUCUGGAAACGCAGCACAUGUUUGGAUCACAGUACCCUUAUUUGCUUUGUCUGACAGUCUUUAACAUUCCGGUGCCCUAAAUCUUUGAAGGACCCCCUUACACCUCCAGACUUGUUUCUAAUCUGUAAAACCUUUCCCUCCUCUUUGUUCCCUCCCUGGUACUUCCUCUUCUCCCUGGUUCCCCUGUGCCUGGUAAAGUGAUUGCAGAGAGAUCAGCAUGGUGGAAAUGAAAGUGGCCAUGACGAAAGGCUGAGGGAUCUGCUGUAACAUUGCAUUGGAUCCCCUUGUAUUUUUUCCCUUUUCCCAUUUUCCUGUGUGUCCGCCUGUUUCUCUCUACACAGCCGCUAUCAUAUUACCUCCCUGCAACAGCCGCUGAUGUAAUCCAAGUUUAUGACCACACUGUUCUCCACAACACAUGCUCCCUCUCUCUCCCUUCCUAUUUCUAAACAUCCACCAGAUUAACAUAAUAACUGAUUAGAAACUAAGUGUACUAGACAAGUGGGUUUCAAAGUGGGGGGGACUCUAGAGGGACCUAAGAAAAUUUGACAGAAGAUAGGAAAAAAUAUUUUUUUAAAAAUUAGUUUUUCCUUUUUUAACCAUUUACAAUUGUCCCCAACUGUACAAAACAUCAACUAGCAUAAUUGCUGCAUUCUCAAGUUUCCGAUGGUACCUGAAUGCAUCUGGUAAUACAGAAAUAAUCUGUGUAGAACUGGCUGUUCUUGCCUCUUAUGAAGCUUCUCAUCUCCUCAACCUAGCAUGUAGGCUAAUGCUAAACAAAUGUUGAAUAUUGAAUAAAAGUUAAAAAAAAACAUUCUAAAAGUUCAUGUUUCUUUACAUGUUCUGUAGCAUUAUCUGUGGGUUUGUAAAGGGGGUAUUGUUUUGGGGGCCUUUGACAUGGAAAAGUUCGGGAACAACAGUAUUAUAUAUAAUUUCUUUUAUUUACGUUUCACAAAUUUGAGAUGUAAGAAAAGCAAAUUCAACCUUUGCUUUGAAUCCGACUGCUUGACAUUAUGCUACAUAGAUCUCCCCUUCCCCGCCCCUCCACUGGAUCUUAUUAGACAUGCAUUAGUAAGUUGUAUUUCGCACAUCCUGAAAACAAUGGACGCUGUUUAUUCACCAGUGGAAAGUGGAGCUCAGCAGAGUUAGCAGGAGAUUGUUUGAACGUUUGUGAUUCCUAUUAUCUCUGACAGCAAAACCAGAGCCUUGUUUUCAGUCGUCUCUGCAGUUCCACACCAGGAUCUCAUUUCCGCUACCCUGGUCCUGUCUGCGCUGCACCUCCAUCGACUAACACUCCAUCAGUCACUUCUGUUUGUCAAUAUUAUAUCUUUUGUUUUUGAAACUUGGUUUUAGACAACCAUGCACAUGCCUUAUCUGUGCGUUAUCCGCUCUGUGGGAUCUUGGGCUGAUAAAGUCGUGAAAAGAUCUGCCGCAGAUGUUGGUGUUCCAAAAAGCGAAGGCAGUGAAGGUCAAAUGGCAGUCUGCAGGAAAGUGUGAUGUGUUUAUGGAGGUAAUUUCUCUGAUGGUGUGAGUGAGCAGGCUGAAAGGUUCCGUUUACAGAACCCCUUCCUGCUUAGAGCUGUGAGCAACCCACUCUGCCUGUCAAUUCACAUCAAUCUGAAUUUGCAGCAUUUACUGCUAAGCCAGUCAUUUGAAUUGUAAAACACAUUCAUGGUUUAAACAUUUAUAUUUUAUUCAAAUUUUGCGCAAAAAAUAACAACUACGUUAAACCAAGGACACAGAUCUCUGUUGACACAGGAGCAGUUUAAAAGAACUCCAGACCUAAAUGACUAACUAAAACAAAAAUUCAGCAAAAAAAAAAAAAAAAAAAAGUCAUAGAGUCAUAGUUUAAUCGCUGUCACUUUGGAAACA